ACACAUUCAUCAGCGGCCCUAUUCACUAGUCACCACCCUCCACCGCCAGACCAAUCAUCAUCACCACCGGAUUAACAUUACACCAGCGCACCACCAUCGCAUCAGUCGUCUCUCUCUAAAAUCGAACGACCAUCAUUAAAUGUCAUCGACCUCCUCAUUUACCAUUUGCAAUCUAAAAAAAAAGAACCUCUGAUUUCAGGUAUCACAUAAAAAUAUUUCUUAAUUUUUUUUUCUAAUUGAAUCGAAUUGGUGAUGGAUCAAACCAUUGUUUACGCUGUCAAUUUUUUGUGGAUUUUUCAAUGCAGGGGAAGACAUUUCUAAUCGAAUCGAAUCAUUACUCCCAAAAAUUUGUUGAAAUUGGUGAUACGGGUAGAUAAAAAAAAAUGUUUUUUGAACAUAAUUCAUACAGUUACUUAUUGAUAGUGUCAUUUACAUGAAUUAGAGCUCUCACUCAUUCAUACGAAAGUUGUUG
rnacentral:lncRNA from 1 species